rnacentral:tRNA from 1 species
AAUAGAAUGGAGUAAGGGUAACUCGCUGGUCUCAUCAUCCGGAAAUGGAGGUUCGAAUCCUUCUUCUGCAA